GACGAACGCUGGCGGCGUGCUUAACACAUGCAAGUCGAACGGAAAGGCCCUGCUUGCAGGGUACUCGAGUGGCGAACGGGUGAGUAACACGUGGGUGAUCUGCCCUGCACUUCGUGAUAAGCCUGGGAAACUGGGUCUAAUACCGGAUAGGAGCCAUUUUUAGUGUGAUGGUUGGAAAGUUUUUUCGGUGUAGGAUGAGCUCGCGGCCUAUCAGCUUGUUGGUGGGGUAAUGGCCUACCAAGGCGGCGACGGGUAGCCGGCCUGAGAGGGUGGACGGCCACAUUGGGACUGAGAUACGGCCCAGACUCCUACGGGAGGCAGCAGUGGGGAAUAUUGCACAAUGGGCGCAAGCCUGAUGCAGCGACGCCGCGUGGGGGAUGACGGCCUUCGGGUUGUAAACUCCUUUCGCUAGGGACGAAGCUUUUGUGACGGUACCUAGAUAAGAAGCACCGGCUAACUACGUG
rnacentral:rRNA from 1 species